GACGAACGCUGGCGGCGUGCUUAACACAUGCAAGUCGAACGGAAAGGCCCUGCUUUUGUGGGGUGCUCGAGUGGCGAACGGGUGAGUAACACGUGAGUAACCUGCCCUUUGCUUUGGGAUAACUUCAGAAAACUGGGGCUAAUACCGGAUAGGAGCUCCUGCUGCAUGGUGGGGGUUGGAACGCUUCGGCGGUUGGGGAUGGACUCGCGGCUUAUCAGCUUGUUGGUGGGGUAGUGGCUUACCAAGGCUUUGGUGGGUAGCCGGCCUGAGAGGGUGACCGGCCACAUUGGGACUGAGAUACGGCCCAGACUCGUACGUGAGGCAGCAGUGGGGAGUAUUGCACAAUGGGCGGAAGCCUGAUGCAGCAACGCCGCGUGCGGGAUGACGGCCUUCGGGUUGUAAACCGCAUUCGCUUGUGACGAAGCGUGAGUGACGGUAAUGGGUAAAGAAGCACCGGCUAACUACGUG
rnacentral:rRNA from 1 species